UACAGAUGGCUCAUAACAAGGCACUUGCUGAUUUACUCUUGUCUGCCAUAGGCUUAGUUUUCUGUGUCCUUGCCAUGACAACCCCUGGAUUCUUUGUCGAUCAGACCGAAAUGAAAGGUGUUUUUUAUACCAGAUUGUGUGGAUCUAAAACAUGUUCUACGUUUUCUUACGCAGAUCUUGAUAUGGAAUACAAUACCAAAGGGGCAUAUCUUCUCUCAAUGAUAGAUGUACAGAUAGAGAGCCUUCUUGCUGUUUUUCUUGGCGGAAUAGGUUGGUUUAAUCUUUAUCGAAUGCCAGGAAGAAACUAUCAUCUCAAUCAAAGGUUUUGAUUGGAGGAAUUCUCCUUCUUGUUGCAGGUUUAUCUGAGUUUGCCGUCCUAAUACGAUUUACCGCUUUAAACGCCUCUAGAAAAGCAGCACUAGAAAAAAACAGUCUCGGGUCCAUGGGGAUUCCAUAUUCUCUUAUUCUUGCCAGCUUUGGCAGUGUAUUCAUUCUAUUUACUGUGGUGAGGAUUUUCAGCAGCUAUAUAAAAAUCCAAGGAACCACAGAGGAUAAUCAACAGGUGACAGCUGAACCGUGGAGGAAUAUAACCGAAAGCAUAAGAUCAAGUUCAAGCACUUUAAACUAAAUGACAAUGCUUCAUUCAUGUUUCGUAAUAAACUGAAGUAUUCUCUCUGUAACUUAAAAAGAUUCAUUUCAUGUAUAAAAUUAUAUAAGCAAUAUCUAAGAGAAUCAUAAAUGUUUUACAUGUAAUUUUUCCAUUUAUACAUGUAUAAUUCCACUUGGAAACAGACUAAGUCUAUAUAUCUUGG